AGUGAACGCUGGCGGUAGGCCUAACACAUGCAAGUCGAACGGCAGCACAGUAAGAGCUUGCUCUUACGGGUGGCGAGUGGCGGACGGGUGAGGAAUACAUCGGAAUCUACUUUUUCGUGGGGGAUAACGUAGGGAAACUUACGCUAAUACCGCAUACGACCUACGGGUGAAAGCAGGGGAUCUUCGGACCUUGCGCGAUUGAAUGAGCCGAUGUCGGAUUAGCUAGUUGGCGGGGUAAAGGCCCACCAAGGCGACGAUCCGUAGCUGGUCUGAGAGGAUGAGCAGCCACACUGGAACUGAGACACGGUCCAGACUCCUACGGGAGGCAGCAGUGGGGAAUAUUGGACAAUGGGCGCAAGCCUGAUCCAGCCAGACCGCGUGGGUGAAGAAGGCCUUCGGGUUGUAAAGCCCUUUUGUUGGGAAAGAAAAGCAGCAGGUUAAUACCCCGCUGUUCGGACGGUACCCAAAGAAUAAGCACCGGCUAACUUCGU
rnacentral:rRNA from 1 species